UCAGGUUUCACUCAAACCAUGCUCUCUACAUUUCUUCUCCUGCUGUUAACAGCUGCAUCCGGUAUUAAAUGUAUUGAACUGGUUCAGCCUGCAGUCAUGGUGGUUAAGCCUGGAGAAUCAUUUUCAGUCUCCUGUAAAAUCACCGGAUACUCAGCCACAAGUAGCUGUACUAACUGGAUACGACACGCAUCAGGAAAAGCACUGGAAUGGAUCGGCUGGUACUGCAGCUCCAGUGAUACCGGCAGUAUUGAUUCACUUAAAAACAAGAUCAGUUUCUCAGUCGAGGCCUCCAGCAACACUGUGAUUUUACAUGGACAAAACUUUCAGACCCAGGACACAGCUGUGUAUUACUGCGCUCGUAAUGCACAGUGA